UACGGAGGGAGCUAGCGUUGUUCGGAAUUACUGGGCGUAAAGCGCACGUAGGCGGCUUUGUAAGUUAGAGGUGAAAGCCCGGGGCUCAACUCCGGAAUUGCCUUUAAGACUGCAUCGCUUGAAUCCAGGAGAGGUGAGUGGAAUUCCGAGUGUAGAGGUGAAAUUCGUAGAUAUUCGGAAGAACACCAGUGGCGAAGGCGGCUCACUGGACUGGUAUUGACGCUGAGGCGCGAAAGCGUGGGGAGCAAACAGG
rnacentral:rRNA from 1 species